AUAUAUUUAUAUAUUUUUUAUAUAUAUAUAUAUAUUAGAAAGUUGGUUAGCCUGUCAGCUGUGGAUUUUAACCGCUCCUUCAAAUCCUCCAAACAAAAUUCCGAACCCCCUGAGGCGUGUUCACCCCAAAAAUCACAUCCAGACCUUCACUUUCCCAUGGAUUCCCCCUCACACAAUAAAUCUGUGAUUAUAAUUACAAUUAUAAUAAAAUUACAAUCCAAGAAAUAAAACCCCCCCUUCCUCCCUCCCUGGUGCUCUGAGCUCAAACCCUGCACUGCACCCCGAAAUUCUGUCAGAAUUCAGAGCCCUCCUGGCCCCGGGGCUGGAGGGAAUGAGAAGCAAGGCACAAUUUGAUUUUUCCGGGGCUCACCUGGUACUUGAGCAGAGGCACGUUGUAGUAGGAGGCGGCCGGGCUCUGCUCCGCCUGUUUCUGCAGCUGCCCGGUCAGCGCUGCCAUGUUCAGCCAGAAGUCCUUGGUGCUGGGGUCGCUCUGGGAGGGGUCGCUGCGGGGGCAGCACGGGCUGGCUACCCCCAGGAGCUGGCGGCCCCCUAAACCAGCUCCAAAGCAGCUCCUCGGGAUGCCCAGACCCGCUGGGAUCCCCCAAACUCAUCGCUGCAAUUCCCAGGAUGCCCAGAGCCCCGGGAAUCCCAAAAUCCCAAAACUCGGCUCCCCAUGGCUGCUCCCACUGCACCCCCAGGACACCCAGACCUCCAGGAAUCCCAAAAUCCCAAAACUCGGUUCCUCAUCGCUGCAAUUCCCAGGAUGCCCAGACCUCCAGGAAUCCCAAAAUCCCAAAACUCGGCUCCUCAUCGCUGCCAUUCCCAGGAUGGCCAGAGCCCCGGGAAUCCCAAAAUCCCAAAACUCGGUUCCCUAUCACUGCCAUUCCCAGGACACUCAGAUCCCCAGGAAUCCCAAAAUCCCAAAACUCGGUUCCUCAUUGCUGCAAUUCCCAGGACACUCAGAUCCUCGGGAAUCCCAAAACUCGGUUCCCUAUCACUGCAAUUCCCAGGAUGCCCAGAUCCUCUGGAAUCCCAAAAUCCCAAAACUCGGUUCCUCAUUGCUGCAAUUCCCAGGAUGCCCAGAUCCCCGGGAAUCCCAAAAUCCCAAAACUCGGCUCCCUACCGCUGCAAUUCCCAGGACACUCAGAUCCCCAGGAAUCCCAAAAUCCCAAAACUCGGUUCCUCAUGGCUGCUUCCACUGCACCCCCAGGACACCCAGACCUCCAGGAAUCCCAAAAUCCCAAAACUCGGUUCCUCAUCGCUGCAAUUCCCAGGAUGCCCAGACCUCCAGGAAUCCCAAAAUCCCAAAACUCGGCUCCUCAUCGCUGCCAUUCCCAGGAUGGCCAGAGCCCCGGGAAUCCCAAAAUCCCAAAACUCGGUUCCCUAUCACUGCCAUUCCCAGGACACUCAGAUCCCCAGGAAUCCCAAAAUCCCAAAACUCGGUUCCUCAUUGCUGCAAUUCCCAGGACACCCAGAGCCCCGGGAAUCCCAAAAUCCCAAAACUCGGUUCCCUACCGCUGCAAUUCCCAGGAUGCCCAGACCCUCUGGAAUCCCAAAAUGCCAAAACUCGGCUCCCCAUCUCUGCAUCCCUCAGCUCCAGAG
ensembl:lncRNA